CGCACAAUUGGCCCAGCAUCGACCGGGUUUGGGUUUGGCCUAGGUAGGCCGUCAUAGACUGAAUUUGUUCUCCAGUUAAAUAAAGGUUAAGCUCUCUUGGGUAAGGGGCAGUAUUUUUACGUCCGGAUGAAAAGCGUGCCCAAAGUAAACUGCCUGUUACUCAAGCCCAGAAGCUAGGAUAUGCAUAUAAUUGGUCGAUUUGGAUAGAAAACACUCUAAAGUUUCUAACACUGUUAAAAUGAUGUCUGUGAGUAUAACAGAACUGAUAUGGCAGGCGAAACCCGAGGACAAACCAUCCAAAAAAAUUAUAAUUUCCUCAUACCACUGUUUCCAAUGGCUUUCAUGUUUAUUAUGAGGCGAAGUCCUCCCAGAUUGCAGUUCCUAGGGCUUCCACUAGAUGUCAACAGUCUUUAGAAAGAGUUUCAGGCUGGUUUUGGGAAAAAUUUGCUAGAAGUUGUAGUUUUUCUAAGUGGCUCCCAUUUUGGCUGUAGUGUUCCAUUCGCGUGGGUGAAAGCGCGUUCUUUGUUAUUUAUCUCCGGUAAUGAACAUACUAUUCUCCGUCUUAAAUUGUAUCAUUUAUUUGCAUAAUAGGGUACGUGAGGUUUGAUUAUAAACGUUGUUUGACUUGUUUGGAUGAGUUUAUUGGUAACGUUUGGGAUUCAUUUUGUAUGCAUUUUGAAGGAGGGAAACCAAUGGAUUAUUGAAUGAAGCGUGCCAGCUAAACUGAGUUUUUAUGGAUAUAAAGAAGGACUGUAUCGAACAAAAGGACCAUUUGUGAUGUAACUGGGACCUUUUGGAGUGCCAACAGAAGAAGAUCUUCAAAGGUAAGGCAUUUAUUAUAUCGCUAUUUCUGACUUUCGUGUCGCACCUGCCUGGUAGAAAAAAAAUGUCUCAUGUUUUUGUAUGCGGGGCGCUGUCCUCAGAUAAUCGCAUGGUGUGCUUUCGCAAGUUAAAGUGUACUGUUAGCUAGCUAACGUUAGCUGGCUCACUAGCUAACAUUACGUGUAUGAUCGUAUUAUUUGUAUCUCAGAGCCAUUUGCUCUGCUAGUUCUAGCCUAAUGUUAGCUAGCUAACAUUGAACCUGGUUGGUUAGCUACAUGCAGAUUCGAGCAGGGUAGUAAAGUCAUGAGUUGGGAUUAUGGUUCAUUGUUUAGCUAGCUAGCUGGCUAGCUACAUGUUUUAACAAAAGAUUCCAUUAUGCAAGGGCUCCCGAGUGGUGCAGCGGUCUAAGGCACUGCAUCUCAGUGCUAGACGGGUCACUACAGACACCCUGGUUCAAAUCCAGGCUGUAUCACAACCUGCCGUGAUUGGGAGUCCCAUAGGCCGGUGCACAACUGGCCCUUGUUUGGCCGGAGUAGGCCGUCAUUGUAAUGUCAUGAAUGGUGAUUAUGGUUCAUUGUUUAGCUAGCUAGCUACAUGUCUUAACAAAACACUCCACUAUGCAAGUAACCAUUUCGGGUGUGUUCGUAAAUUCAGUCUGGCCAUCUAGUCCGAUUUCAGAGCACUCUCAUCUGAGUGUGCCAGAGCGCAGAAUAACUGAUGAAUUUACAAACGCUCAACACCCAUUGAAUAUGGCCGGUGUCAAUAAAAGUUGUCAAAAAAGAGUAAUUCAAUUGUUGCCAGCAGCACAGUUACAGUCACCAACGCUCUGGAUAACAUGAAAACAGCCUAACCAGCUCUGCUAGUGUGAGUAAAAUGGUCAGAGUUUGGAUGGGGGCUAAAGGUUUGGAGGGUGUGAAUGAUGCUGAAUGAGUAUAAAGAAAGAAGAGUUCUCCAGUAGGUACCAAAACAUUUAAAGACCAUUUUCUCAAAAGUAAGUUUACAAGUUUAUCUACUUUCAAAGCAGAAUUACUUUCCCAUUGUUUCCUCAAAUGCAGUGUAUGAUAUACUAUUUUGUAGCUCUGUGUCUCUGCUUUUAUCGUAUGUAAAAAAAAAAUAAUAAUAAUAAAAUGUUGCGUCAUAAGACAGAAUCAAGGCGGUCCAUCACAUGUCUCUCUAUUUAAGAGUGCAAUUCUUGGGAACAGAUUUCCUAAAUAAAAAUCCUGGUGAUUUUACACAUAAACAAUAAAAACGUCUAAUUAAAACUUGGACACAUAGAGUAUAGGGUACCAUUUGGGAUGCAAACUUCUUUCUGCUCAGAAAUGAUCCUUGCCUCAUUCUGUGUCUUACAUACUCACUGUGUUUAGCAGCUCUCAGCUAGGUUUAUAGUGUAUUAUUACAGUGAGCAAAGCAGGGGAAUUUCCACUGAUUUGUAUGUGUACCAUGUAACCUGCUGUCAUGCUUGUAUCUAUAGCACUGGGCCCAAACAAUCACCACAAAACUAUACACACAAACUAUCUAAGUCAAAUAGGGGAGAAUUGUUGUGCCGUGAGGUGUUGCUUUAUCUGUUUUUUUUAAACCAUGUUUGCUGUUUAUUUGAGCAAUAUGAGAUGGAAGGAAGUUCCAUGCAAUAAUGGCUCUAUACAGUGCCUUCGGAAAGUAUUCGGACCACUUGUUUCAACAUUUUGUUAGGUGACAGCUUUAUUUUAAAAUGGAUGAAAUAGAUUUUUUUCCUCAUCAAUCUACACACAAUACCCCAUCAAGACAAAGUAAAAACAGGUUUUUUAGAUAUGUUUGCUAAUUUAUAAAAUAUUUUUAAAAAUUACAUCACGUUUACAUAAGUAUUCAGACCCUUUACUCAGUACUUUGUUGAAGCACCUUUGGCAGCGAUUACAGCCUCGAGUCUUCUUGGGUAUGACGCUACAAGCUUGGCACACCUAUAUUUGAAGAGUUUCUCCCAUUCUUCUCUGCAGAUGCUGUCAAGCUUUGUCAGGUUGGAUGGGGAGAGUUGCUGCACAGCUAUUUUCAGGUCUCUCCAGAGAUAUUAGAUCGGGUUCAAGUCCGGGCUCUGGCUAGGCCACUCAAGGACAUUCAGAGACUUGUCCCGAAGACAAUGCUGAGUUGUCAUGGCUGUGUCUUUAGGGUCAUUGUCCUGUUGGAAGGUGAACCUUCGCUCAGUCUGAGGUCCUGAGCCCUCUGGAGCAGGUUUUCAUUAAGGAUCUCUCUGUACUUUACUCCAUUCAUCUUAGGCUCGAUCCUGACUAGUCUCCCAGUCCAUGCUGCUGAAAAACAUCCCCACAACAUUAUGCUUGCUAACAUUUCUGAAAAUCUGUUUUUGCUCUGUCGUAAUGGGGUAUUGUAUGUAUUUGGUGAGGGAAAAACAAACAAUGUAAUCCAUUUUAGAAUAAGGCUGUAACGUAACAAAGUGUGGAAGAAGUCAAGUGGUCUGAAUAUUUUUUUGAUACCCACAAGGAUAAUGUGUGUCCUAACCAACAAUUACCGUUCAAAAUCCUAUUUUCCAUAACUCCUAAACCUAACCCUUAACCUAACCUAAACCCCUAACCCUAACCUAAACCCCUAACCUAAACCCCUAACCCUUAACCUAACCCUUAACCUAAACCCCUAACCCUUAACCUAACCCUUAACCUAACCCUUAACCUAACCCUAACCUAAACCCCUAACCCUUAACCUAACCCUAACCUAAACCCCUAACCCUUAACCUAACCCUAACCUUAACCCCUAACCCUUAACCUAACCCUUAACCUAACCCUAACCUAAACCCCUAACCCUUAACCUAACCCUUAACCAAACCCUAACCUAAACCCCUAACCCUUAACCUAACCCUUAACCCUAACCCUAACCUAAACCCCUAACCCUUAACCUAACCCUUAACCUAACCCUUAACCCUUAACCUAACCCUAACCUUAACCCCUAACCUUAACCCCUAACCCUUAACCUAACCCCUACCCCCUAAACCUAACCCUUAACCUAACCCUAACCCUAACCUUAACCCCUAACCCUUAACCGAACACUAACCUUAACUACUAAUCCUUAACCUAACCUUAACCCCUAACCUAACCCUAACCCCUAACGCUAACCUUAACACCUAACCCUAAACCUAAUCCUUAACCUUAACCCCUAACCCUUAACCUAACCCUAACCUUAACCCCUAACCCUAAACCUAACCCUUAACCUAACUCUUAACCACUAACCUUAACCCCUGAACCUAACCCUAACCUUAAUCCCUAACCUUAAACCCUAACCCUAACCUUAACCCUUAAUCCUAACCUUAACACCUAACCCUAACCUUAACCCCUAAUCCUAACCUAACCCUAACCUUAACCUUAACCCCUAACCCUAACCUUAACCCCUAAACCUAACCCUUAACCUAACCCUUAACCUAACCCCUAUCCCUAACCCCUAACCCCUAACCCCUAAUCCUAACCUUAAUCCCUAACCCUAACCUUAACCGCUAGGCCUAUCAGUUGAUCCAGAAGUCUUCACAAGGGUAGUAAAACCAGCAACAUUUGGACAAGUGGGGACAUAUCGCCGGUCUCCACAAGACAAAAAAAAAGUUAUUAAAUAACUUGGAUACAGCUACUAAAUAAAUGGGAGCCCGAGCACAUGAAGUACCGUUAGUUAGAGCCCUCCAGAUGUAUUUCAGCGGGCAGGGUUUCACAACUACAUUAUAGCUGACUUAGCGCUUUUAUAUUGUUGUUUCGCAAGAGGAACAUUAAAGUAAGAUGUCAAGCAGAUUUCUGGACUGCAAUUGAACUGUAUUUUGAUAAUGGCUUGAGAUGUCCAUCCAUUUAAUCUGUUUACGUACCUGAAUUGACUGUUUACGUACCUGAAUGACUGUUUACGUACCCGAAUGACUGUUUACAUACCUGAAUGACUGUUUACAUCCCUGAAUGACUGUUCGGUGAUGGGUUAUUGUAAUGACUCUGUCAUCAUCUUUAGCUAUAGUAAAGGUCGAAGUAUCGCUGAUGUGUUUUUCUGUGUUGGUUUCCCUGGGAGACCAUAAUUGCCUGUUUUAUUCAUCAUGUUGUGAAGGUGUGUUUUUAUGGCCCUGAAAUUACCCCCACACCACAGGGAGGCGCCGUGGGGGAAAACAAAUAUGAUUUCAUGGAUCUUUGGCAUAGAAAGUGCAGAAUACUCAGAAUAUUUCUAGCACUGUGGUGUAGAGCUCUGUUGUUCAUUUCAAAUCAUGAACAAAGGAGUAGUUCUCAAUCAUUUUUUAAUUUUAUUUAACCUUUAUUUAACUAGGCAAAUCAGUUGAGAAAAGAAAAAACUUAUUUUACGAUGACAGCCUACCCCGGCCGAACCCUACCCUAACCCGGACGACGCUGGGCCAAUUGUGCGCAACCCUAUGGGACUCCCGAUUACGGCCGGUUGUGAUACAGC
rnacentral:lncRNA from 1 species